rnacentral:snoRNA from 1 species
AGGUUAUUUCAAAGAGGACUUGUGGGGCUGUGAAACCAGGAUCUCUUAAGACUAUGACCAAAGCUUGAAGUUCUCCAUAGGAUGCCGUAAUCACUCAGUAAUGUUAUGCUUUUCCAAGGAAAUGUAAGA